rnacentral:rRNA from 1 species
CCUACGGGAGGCAGCAGUGAGGAAUAUUGGUCAAUGGACGAGAGUCUGAACCAGCCAAGUAGCGUGAAGGAUGACUGCCCUAUGGGUUGUAAACUUCUUUUAUAAAGGAAUAAAACGCGGCACGUGUGCCUUUUUGCAUGUACUUUAUGAAUAAGGAUCGGCUAACUCCGUGCCAGCAGCCGCGGUAAUACGGAGGAUCCGAGCGUUAUCCGGAUUUAUUGGGUUUAAAGGGUGCGUAGAUGGGUUGUUAAGUCAGUUGGGAAAGUUUGCGGCUUAACCGUAAAAUUGCAAUUGAUACUGGCAGUCUUGAGUACAGUUGAGGUAGGCGGAAUACGUGGUGUAGCGGUGAAAUGCUUAGAUAUCACGAAGAACCCCGAUAGCGAAGGCAGCUUACUAAGCUGUGACUGACAUUGAUGCACGAAAGUGUGGGUAUCAAACAGGAUUAGAUACCCCAGUAGUC